rnacentral:rRNA from 1 species
UACGAACUGUGCAAACGUUAUUCGGAAUCACUGGGCGUAAAGCGCGCGCAGGCGGUCUUCCAAGUCAGUGGUGAAAGCCCGGAGCUCAACUCCGGAACUGCCAUUGAAACUGUAAGACUUGAGGAUGAGAGAGGUGAGUGGAAUUCCCAGUGUAGAGGUGAAAUUCGUAGAUAUUGGGAAGAACACCGGUGGCGAAAGCGGCUCACUGGACCUCUUCUGACGCUGAGGCACGAAAGCUAGGGUAGCGAACAGG